rnacentral:rRNA from 1 species
AUUGAACGCUGGCGGCAGGCCUAACACAUGCAAGUCGAACGAGUGGCGGACGGGUGAGUAAUGUCUGGGAAACUGCCCGAUGGAGGGGGAUAACUACUGGAAACGGUAUCUAAUACCGCAUACCAUCGGAUGAACCCAUAUGGGAUUAGCUAGUAGGUGGGGUAAAGGCUCACCUAGGCGACGAUCUCUAGCUGGUCUGAGAGGAUGAUCAGACGAACAGGGACUGAGGCACGGCACAGUCUCCUACGGUAGGCAGCAGUGGGGAAGAUUGCACAAGGGGCGCAAGCCUGAUGCAGCCAUGCCGCGUGUAUGAAGAAGGCCUUAGGGUUGUAAAGGACUUUCAGCGGGGAGGCGUUACCCGCAGAAGAAGCACCGGCUAACUCCGUGACAGCAGCCGCGGUAAUUC